rnacentral:tRNA from 1 species
GGGCUGUUGGCUCAGCGGAAGAGCACUUGCUUCACACCCAAGGGGUCAGAGGUUCGAAUCCUCUACAGCCCA